AUAUUGACUAAAGGAAAAGAGUUCAGUUUAGGGUUUAAAACCCUAAUGCUGACUAAAGGAAAAGAGCUCAGUUUAGGGUUUAAAACCCUAAUGCUGACUGAAGGAAAAGAGUUCAGUUUAGGGAUUAAAAUCCUAAUGCUGACUAAAGGAAAAGAGUUCAGUUUAGGGUUUAAAACCUUAAUGCUGACUAAAGGAAAAGAGUUCAGUUUAGAGUUUAAAACCCUAAUGCUGACUAAAGGAAAAGUUCAGUUUAAGGUUUAAAACCCUAAUGCUGACUAAAGGAGAAGAGUUCAGUUUAGGGUUUAAAACCCUAAUGCUGACUAAAGGAAAAGUUCAGUUUAGGGUUUAAAACCCUAAUGCUGACUAAAAGGAAAAGUUCAGUUUAGGGUUUAAAACCCUAAUGCUGACUGAAUGGAAAAAGUUCAGUUUAGGUUUUAAAACCCUAAUGCUGACUAAAUGGAAAAUGUUCAGUUUAGGGUUUAAAACCCUAAUGUUGACUGAAGGAAA
rnacentral:lncRNA from 1 species